AGACAAUGGAUUUUAUUCAGCUGUAAAGAAUGUUGUCAAUCAGGAAACAUGGGGACACAGAAGAUGAGAGAGGACUGCUGUUUGUGUGCCGUGCUUCUCCUCUUUCAGAGACUUGUAGUCUUCAUCACUCAUCAAAGAAACCUCUCUGUGC